rnacentral:miRNA from 7 species
GGACAGACAGACAGUGCAGUCACCCAUAAAGUAGAAAGCACUACUAACAGCACUGGAGGGUGUAGUGUUUCCUACUUUAUGGAUGAGUGCACUGUGGGCUUCGGAG